UGCAGAAUCCCGUGAACCAUCGAGUUUUUGAACGCAAGUUGCGCCCGAAGCCAUCCGGCUGAGGGCACGCCUGCCUGGGCGUCA
rnacentral:rRNA from 3 species